AUUGAACGCUGGCGGCAGGCCUAACACAUGCAAGUCGAGCGGCAGCGGAAAGUAGCUUGCUACUUUGCCGGCGAGCGGCGGACGGGUGAGUAAUGUCUGGGAAACUGCCUGAUGGAGGGGGAUAACUACUGGAAACGGUAGCUAAUACCGCAUAACGUCGCAAGACCAAAGAGGGGGACCUUCGGGCCUCUUGCCAUCCGAUCGGCCCAGAUGGGAUUAGCUAGUAGAUGGGGUAACGGCUCGCCUAGGCGACGAUCCCUAGCUGGUCUGGGAGGAUGACCAGCCACACUGGAACUGAGACACGGUCAGACUCCUACGGGAGGCAGCAGUGGGGAAUAUUGCACAAUGGGCGCAAGCCUGAUGCAGCCAUGCCGCGUGUAUGAAGAAGGCCUUCGGGUUGUAAAGUACUUUCAGCGGGGAGGAAGGUGUUGAGGUUAAUAACCUCAGCAAUUGACGUUACCCGCAGAAGAAGCACCGGCUAACUCCGUGCCAGCCGCCGCCGUAAUAC
rnacentral:rRNA from 1 species